CUGUAGGAUUUUUAUUUAAAGUUUCCGCUGCACCAUUCCACUUCUGAAGCCCUGAUGGAUGAUACGGAAAAUCAUCACCAAAAAUACUUACAUCGUGUAUUCGGGGCAAAUUGCCAAAUUCCGGGAAAGCCCUAGAACUUAAGAUACCAAGCCAUAAUCGAAAGGUUAUAGGUGGAUGAACUAAUCCCUCAUGUACGGUAACAAGUCUUAAGACAUUUGAAAAAAUAGGGGGUAAUCGCGGAUCUAAAUUAGUCACUGGAUUAUCGUUAUAUAAACCACAAACUAUAAAAGAGCAACGAGUAUACGGCAAUUGAUACGAUUUAUCGUAUUUAAGAUGUACUCUAUUAGGUUUCGGGAGAAAUCG
rfam:Cochliobolus heterostrophus C5 unplaced genomic scaffold COCHEscaffold_38, whole genome shotgun sequence.